AUUGAACGCUGGCGGCAGGCCUAACACAUGCAAGUCGAGCGAGCGGCGGACGGGUGAGUAAUGCCUGGGAAUUGCCCAGUCGAGGGGGAUAACAGUUGGAAACUACUGCUAAUACCGCAUACGAUUGGAUUACCCAGGUGGGAUGAGCUCGUUGGUGAGGGAAUGGCUCCCCAAGGCGACGAUCCCUAGCUGGGCUGAGAGGAUGACCAGCCACACUGUAACUGAGACACGGCCCAGACUCCGACGGGAGGCAGCAGUGGGGAAUAUUGCAAAAUGGGGGAAACCCUGAUGCAGCCAUGCCGCGUGUGUGAAGAAGGCCUUCGGGUUGUAAAGCACUUUCAGCGAGGAGGCGUUACGCGCAGAAGAAGCACCGGCUAACUCCGUGCCAGCAGCCGCGGUAAUUC
rnacentral:rRNA from 1 species